CACAUGUCGAGCACUAAACAUUUUUAACAAGAUUUUAUUGUACACAAUAUAUUCUUCUCUUCCUUCAAGUAUUUUCAGUUAUGUUGACUUUCAUUAAGUGGGUAUUCUGUUGAAGGUUGCCCAAACAUUGCAAGUCGCCUGCUUUUCGAAGUAUUUGCCAUUAUCAAUGCAUAGGAGGAUUUGAAUCUUUAUUGAAGACUUCGCUUUAUUUUCUGCAUGGGAAGCCCAGUUCAUGUCGGCGAGACUCGUCAUAAACUGCAACAAAACAUGGACGACAAAGAAUCGCCUGCCAAGCAUCAAUGUGACAUUUGCGAAAAAAGUUUUGAAUACUCGAGCGAACGUGUGCAUGUAAUAACCCACGCCGGUGAAAAACCGUUUCAAUGCAACAUCUGUGGUAAAAAAUAUUUUCAAUAUACCAGUUUUCUUAAACAUGAGAGACUCCACAUGUCAGAUGAACCUCGCGAAUGUGAUCUGUGCGGUGAAAAGUUCAUUGAUGUCAAAUGUUUUAAUCGACAUUACAAAAUUCAUACGAGAGAGCAACGGCGAAAAUGCGAUAUAUGCAAAAAGGUAUUCAGUGGUUCGAGUCACCUUAAACGGCACAAACUUUGCCAUACUGGGGAAAAACCGUACAAAUGCAAAAGCUGCGGUAAGACUUUCAAUAAUUCGUACAAUCUCAAGCGCCACGAAAUGAUUCAUACCGGGGAAAAACCGCACAAAUGUCCCGUAUGUGCAAAAACUUUCAGUCAAUUGAGCGACAUGAAACGUCACGAAAGCAUUCACACUGGAGUGAAAUCAUUCAAGUGUGAUGUGUGUAACAAGUCGUUUGCCCUUCAAGUUGGAAAAUCAAAAAACUCAAGAUUUUGCAAAUAUCACGCGCACACGGUCUAUGGACUGAAGAAAUGCUAUUGCCUAUCUUAAGGCGCGUUCUUGAAUAUGAUUGGCUAACAGAAAUCGGAGACAAGAACAAAUCAAAGCUUGACAACCUGUUUUUUCCUUUCUUCUGGAGUCUGGGUCCAGCCAAGUUCUGACGUCAUCCAAAGUAGUUGGAACAUAUAUUUUGUAUUGACGUGCUCCUUGCAUGACGUCACGAAACUUCUUCAUAUAAAAUUGACUACCCUUCAAUACGAAGAAAGCUAGUUCGGUGAGUAUAGAAAAGUAUCAAUGAAAUGUUUGUGCAGUAAAUACUCGAUUUACCACCGUGGUGAUUAUUUAAUUCUUUUGGUUUUGAAUGCGGAGCUUAUGCGGGAGCGGCGCUUAAGAUGAGCGAUGCGUAUUAAAUAUUUUUUCUGCCACAAGAAACCAAAGAGUAGACAAAAUAUAUUUUUAUUAUAUAUCAUAUAACUUGAUGAAAAUAAUGUCACAUAGACGCUUGAACUAUAAACACUGUUGUAAUUCCAGUGUAUAUGCAUUUAUGCCCACUUCACAAAUCAAUACAACAAAAUCAAAUAUGAUACAACUUCA